UCUGAUCCUAAGCACCUCCAAAAUACGCCUAAGACAUCUCCCUCUCAUCUAAAUAAAGUUCUACAAGAAAUAAAAGUGGUUUUCCCUUGGAGAUCAUAGAAGUGUAAGAAAAAGCUUGUUCUUUCAUUGUUGUGGUGGAUUAAAGUUACUUCAAGCCGAAGUAAGGUGUAAGGCGGGAUGCUUUUUGUGCAUCUAAGUGUAGUUUUGACCUUGCGGAAAGUAGAGGAAAAGAGGGGAGGUGCUAUCCAAUUUCGUAUAAGCAAGUUGCCACUUGUCAGUGGUCGUUAUGCUUCUUAUGUUAAUAAAAGAUUGUGUUUCCAUCUUGUAGACUAGCGUAUUGGUGAGUCGCUUGCGGAGUUGUGAAGGACGCCUAUGGUUGAAGGUAUGUUCUGAUAGACAGAUAGAGAGACCUUCCCAGUAGAUAAUGCAGAAUAUCUGCUUGAUUGGUAAGCUCCACUUCAUCAGGAGUUACCAGGUCCAGAGUUAGUAUUGCUUUGUGCAUAUGGAGAUGAUGGGUAGGCCGGAACCCUGUCCUAACCACAAUAUAGUUUGAUCUUCUUAGAGGCUUGUAGAGGUUUCUUGUAUAUUCAAUAUAUCAGCAUGGUGACCUUGUCAGCUCUUGUUUAUAUCUUGUUUUGGGUUUUGUUGUUUGUAUAUGUGAAGUGGCCUUGUCAGACCAUACAGAUAUGUUAUGUAUAUACAUUGGGAUGAUCCCAUUCAAAGAGAUGUUUGUCAUUUACAGAGUUCCAGAUUUCGGCCUGAGAUUUCAUGUUUUACUUACAGUUGGCCUUUUUGGCCCAGAUUGUUGUAUGUAUGUCUAGAGUUCAUGAGUUA